rnacentral:misc_RNA from 1 species
AAUUGGGUGGAAAAGAUGGUGGUAUUAUUCAUCAAGAAUUUGCUGAGGCAUCAAUUCCUCCAAGUUUGAUGGUUGGGACUUCAGAUGAACUUUUUGAUUAUAUUGCGGCUGAGCUUGCAAAAUUUGUUGCUGCGGAAGAGGAAAAAUUUCAUCAACCUCCUGGUAAGCAGAGAGAACUAGGUUUCACCUUCUCAUUCCCAGUAAUGCAGACUUCAAUCAACUCCGGGAAUAUUAUGCGGUGGACAAAAGGCUUCUCUAUUGAUGAUGCGGUUGGUCAAGAUGUUGUUGGAGAACUCACAAAAGCUAUGAAAAGAAAAGGUGUCGAUAUGCGUGUCUCAGCUCUGGUGAAUGAUACCGUUGGAACGUUAGCUGGUGGUAAAUAUACGCAAAAGGAUGUAGCUGUUGCUGUUAUCUUAGGUACAGGGACCAAUGCAGCUUAUGUGGAACGGGUGCAGGCAAUUCCAAAGUGGCAUGGUCCUGUGCCAAAAUCUGGUGAAAUGGUUAUCAAUAUGGAAUGGGGUAAUUUUAGGUCAUCCCAUCUGCCGUUGACAGAGUAUGAUCAUGCAUUGGAUAAUGAGAGUUUAAAUCCUGGUGAACAGAUAUUUGAGAAGAUGACUUCUGGCAUGUACUUGGGAGAAAU